CUCCGAGUGGCCGCCGCAGGAGUGGGCCCACCGUCUCCUGCCUCUGCUGACGGGAGAGGCCCUUCACCUACGCCCAGCAGCUGCGGGACCAGGCAAGGAGGUGGCUGGACCCGGAACAACACACACCGGAGGACAUAGUGGAGCAGGUGGCCCUGGAGAGGUUCGUCGAGGGGCUUCCAACCAGAACAUCUACCUGGGUCCGGUACCACCAGCCCGGGAGCCUCUCGGCGGCCGUCAACAUCGCAGAGGGCCACCUGGCUCCCCCUCUGUCAGACUGACGACCGGUCCCGAGCCCGCGGACCGGUGCCGCAGCCCUGCAGCGGGACACGCCCACCCCGGGACCGAGGGCGAGAUGGGGGGGGGGGUCCCAGUCACGAGCAGGCACAUAGUGCACCUUCCCACCCCAUCCCGCAGACGGGCACUCAGACGGCAGGGGAGGCGUGCUGGCGGUGUGGACGGCCGGGCCACCUUCGGCGGGACUGUCCGUUGAUGGAGGCAGACGCGUCGGAUAGGGGGGUUGGGCGCGGUCCUGACCCAGCAGGUUGAGGGGACCGACCGUCCGGUGCUGUACCUGAGCCGCAAGCUGUCGGACCGCGAGGGUCGGUACAGCACGGUAGAGAAGGAGUGUCUCGCCAUCCGGUGGGCGGUCGGUGCCCUUCGCUACUACCUGCUGGGUCGCCAGUUCACCCUCUACUCCGACCACGCCCCCCUCCAGUGGCUCCACCGGAUGAAGGACGCCAACGCGAGGAUCACCCGGUGGUACCUCGCGCGGCAGCCGUUCAAUUUCCGGGUGGCCCACAGGCCGGGGGCGCAGAUGGUCGUGGCAGACUUCCUCUCCCGUCCCGGGGGGGGGGAGUAGGUUUACGGCCAGAUGGGUCCCAGGCCUGUGUCGGGCGGUGGGGUCAGGGCUUGAGGUAGGGAGGAGGAAGACGCUCUCUGCGAGCCAGAGAGAGCAUCGUAAAACCAGGAGACGGACGGAUUUGAACAGUAAACCGUUGUCCUUUUGUUCGUAUGUCUUUAAGAUUGUGUAACCAAAGUGGAAAUAAAGAGGAGUUCGCUCCAUUUCCACUACGAACUGUGUCCUGACUCCGUGAACCCGUUACAGAG
ensembl:lncRNA